UGAUUUGGAUGGACCACCAGAUGCACCACCUUCUCCUCCAAAGACACCCCAAAUCUACGACCACUAUGACAAUUAUCUCUCUGACGCUGAAUCACAUGCCCCAGUUAUACCUGUUGCACCUCUCACCGAUCAUACAACUACCAUUGACGUUGUCCACACAAACAUCGCCAACCUGAGAGGCGAGAUGAGCACUUUGCGCGUGGACUUCCACGGCUUUAUGGAUGUAGCGACAGAGAACCUGAAUCACAUUUGCCAGCACUUCUACUCGU
rnacentral:lncRNA from 1 species